rnacentral:rRNA from 1 species
GAUGAACGCUGGCGGCGUGCCUAAUACAUGCAAGUCGAGCGAACAGACGAGGAGCUUGCUCCUCUGACGUUAGCGGCGGACGGGUGAGUAACACGUGGAUAACCUACCUAUAAGACAGGGAUAACUUCGGGAAACCGGAGCUAAUACCGGAUAAUAUAUUGAACCGCAUGGUUCAAUAGUGAAAGACGGUUUUGCUGUCACUUAUAGAUGGAUCCGCGCCGCAUUAGCUAGUUGGUAAGGUAACGGCUUACCAAGGCAACGAUGCGUAGCCGACCUGAGAGGGUGAUCGGCCACACUGGAACUGAGACACGGUCCAGACUCCUACGGGAGGCAGCAGUAGGGAAUCUUCCGCAAUGGGCGAAAGCCUGACGGAGCAACGCCGCGUGAGUGAUGAAGGUCUUCGGAUCGUAAAACUCUGUUAUUAGGGAAGAACAAAUGUGUAAGUAACUAUGCACGUCUUGACGGCACCUAAUCAGAAAGCCACGGCUAACUACGUG